GCGUCCUCGGCUCGGGCGCAGGAGGCCGGCUCCUCGGGCCGGUUGGCGCAGCACGGUGUGGCGGCGGCGCGGGUCCUCCGCGAGGACGCC
rnacentral:tRNA from 1 species